rnacentral:tRNA from 1 species
GGGCCCGUAGCUUAGCUAGGUUGGAGCGCCCGGCUGAUAACCGGGAGGUCUGGAGUUCAAAUCUCCGCGGGCCCA